rnacentral:rRNA from 1 species
GUAGGGAAUAUUGCACAAUGGAGGAAACUCUGAUGCAGCGACGCCGCGUGAGUGAUGAAGGCCUUCGGGUCGUAAAGCUCUGUCGCAGGGGAAUAACACAAUGAAGGUACCCUGUAAGAAAGGAUCGGCUAACUUCGUGCCAGCAGCCGCGGUAAGACGAGGGAUCCUAGCGUUGUUCGGAAUCAUUGGGCGUAAAACGGAUUUAGGUGGCUAUGUAAGCCAGAUGUGAAAGCCUGGGGCUCAACCCCAGAAGUGCAUUUGAUACUGCGUAGCUUGAGUGUCGGAGAGGUUACUAGAAUUGUUGGUGUAGUGGUGAAAUACGUAGAUAUCAACAGGAAUACCGGAGGCGAAGGCGGGUAACUGGCCGAUCACUGACACUGGGAUCCGAAAGCGUGGGGAUCAAACAGGAUUAGAUACCCGUGUAGUCC